rnacentral:rRNA from 1 species
GGUGAAAACAUCUUCUUAUGGGAUAACUGACGUUGAGGGACGAAGGCUUUUUAUAGCGAACAGGAUUAGAUACCCUGGUAGUCAGAGCAGAAAACGAUGAGUGUCAUAGAUUAGAUAAAUAUUUAUUCUAUAAAUGAAAAUGUAAACACUCCACCUCAAGAGUAAUUUGGCAACAUUGGAACUGAAAUCAUUAGACCGUGUCUGAAACCAGUAGUGAAGUAUGUUGUUUAAUUUGAUAAUCCGCAAAAAACCUUACCACAACUUGAAUAUCUAUUUACUUACUUUUAUUACACGCUUUGUGAGCAAUGUUAUGUAUAACUAGGAUUGCUUUUUAUACAAUCGUGUAAAUAGAUGAAAUAAGAUAGGUACAAGUGUUGCACGGCUGUCUUAAGUUAAUGUCGUAAGACUUUGGUUAGCUCCAGUAAAUUAACGCAAACCCUUGCUCUAGUUUUAAGUAGAGUA